rnacentral:rRNA from 1 species
GGCGGCCUAACAAUGCAAGUCGAGCGGUAGAGAGAAGCUUGCUUCUCUUGAGAGCGGCGGACGGGUGAGUAAUGCCUAGGAAUCUGCCUGGUAGUGGGGGAUAACGUUCGGAAACGGACGCUAAUACCGCAUACGUCCUACGGGAGAAAGCAGGGGACCUUCGGGCCUUGCGCUAUCAGAUGAGCCUAGGUCGGAUUAGCUAGUUCGUGAGGUAAUGGCUCACCAAGGCGACGAUCCGUAACUGGUCUGAGAGGAUGAUCAGUCACACUGGAACUGAGACACGGUCCAGACUCCUACGGGAGGCAGCAGUGGGGAAUAUUGGACAAUGGGCGAAAGCCUGAUCCAGCCAUGCCGCGUGUGUGAAGAAGGUCUUCGGAUUGAAAAGCACUUUAAGUUGGGAGGAAGGGUUGUAGAUUAAUACUCUGCAAUUUUGACGUUACCGACAGAAUAAGCACCGGCUUACUCUGUGCCAGCAGCCGCGGUAAUACAGAGGGUGCAAGCGUUAAUCGGAAUUACUGGGCGUAAAGCGCGCGUAGGUGGUUUGUUAAGUUGGAUGUGAAAUCCCCGGGCUCAACCUGGGAACUGCAUUCAAAACCUGACUGACUAGAGUAUGGUAGAGGGUGGUGGAAUUUCCUGUGUAGCGGUGAAAUGCGUAGAUAUAGGAAGGAACACCAGUGCCGAAGGCGACCACCUGGACUAAUACUGACACUGAGUGCGA